rnacentral:lncRNA from 1 species
CCCAGACCGGUUCCAACCUGCUGGGACCGGUCCCAGCUUACUUCAACUGUCACCAACCUCUGGUCGGGCAGUGGGGCGGGAAACUCGGUCCCAGCCUCCGAGUCGGAAAGGCAGGAGCGCGGGUCCCGAAUCCACACUUCUCAGGCCAGGCCUCAGAGGCCUGACGGUCUCAGACAUAAAACCCGACAAGUCCACGACAUGACAAGUGGAAGUCUGUACCAACCAGCACGAGACCUGUCUAGAAAUGACUGUUUGCUUGAAGUCUCGGGAGGAGACUCUGUGCACCGGAGGCCUUUUGUAUCUUUAAGGCCUGUUAGAUUGUCCACGAGGAUCACCCAUGCUUGAAUUCCCUUAAACAGUCAAACGUGCAGAAAUGGGCUCACUCCGUGCAGGCUGUACUGUCUAGCUUGAGUCAGCGACAUCCGGGGUGUUAAUGGUUGCAGACCCCUUCAGCAUCGGGCAGCGGUGUUAGAUACUAAAGAAGGCUCCCUCAGCCCAUAUGCAUCUGCUUUGACUGGUGGUCUCUGUCAACCUACAAAGACUGACCUAUUGCUGAGGGCAGCUGGACAACUCUGAACAACUUAGAGAACUCCAUCUUGGGCACUCUGUAAGGAGCUUCUCUGGAGAUAGCACCCCAUGUAAGUGCAGAGAACAAGACACCCACGUGGACCUACUACUUCCCGAUUCCAACACCCCGAUGCCUGAAGUGUGUAGAAUUUGACAGCACUCUCAAGAGCUGAGGAGAAAGCGAAGAUGGAAAGGAGUCUAGCAACUAAAAGCAGACAUAGCAUUCUCUGUGAAGUGACCUUUUCCUGUUGGUGGCUCAGUUUAUUUAGGAGAUAAAGAAGAUAAAGAUAGAUAAAGAAGAAACUGAAUUUAUCCAGUGGUUCCUCCCUUUAUUUCUGUGUCACAGUUUGCAUCCCAUGUUCAGCAUUGACCCGCAUGGCCACCGUCAGUCCUGAAAGCUUGGCUUCAUAACGAGGACUGGGGAGGUUCAGGUCUCAUCAUGGCUUAUAUACAGAACAGCUCUCAUGGGGGAGAAGUAGAUGGAAUCCAGGGAAAAAGCUGAUUAAAUCCUUCUAGAUGGUGUGCUAGUGAUUAAAGUUUUAACGAGUUUUUA